GAUGAACGCUAGCGGCAGGCCUAAUACAUGCAAGUCGAACGGUGUCUUCGGACAUAGUGGCGCACGGGUGCGUAACACGUAUACAACCUACCUUACAUUGGGGGAUAGCCUUUCGAAAGGGAGAUUAAUACCGCAUAAGACAGUAACUAGGCAUCUAGUAGCUGUUAAAGAUUUAUCGAUGUAAGCUGGGCAUGCGUCCAAUUAGCUAGUUGGUGAGGUAACGGCUCACCAAGGCAAUGAUUGGUAGGGGAACUGAGAGGUCAAUCCCCCACACUGGGACUGAGAUACGGGCCAGACUCCUACGGGAGGCAGCAGUAGGGAAUAUUGGGCAAUGGACGCAAGUCUGACCCAGCCAUGCCGCGUGCAGGAUGAAGGCGUUAUGCGUUGUAAACUGCUUUUAUACAGGAAGAAACGACUCUUGCGAGGGGCAUUGACGGUACUGUAUGAAUAAGCACCGGCUAACUCCGUGCCAGCCGCCGCCGUAACAC
rnacentral:rRNA from 1 species